rnacentral:rRNA from 1 species
UACGAAGGGGUGCAAACGUUGCUCGGAAUUAUUGGGGCGUAAAGAGCUUGUAGGCGGUUUGUCGCGUCUGCCGUGAAAGCCCAGGGCUUAACCCUGGGUCUGCGGUGGGUACGGGCAGACUAGAGUGUGGUAGGGGAGACUGGAAUUCCUGGUGUAGCGGUGAAAUGCGCAGAUAUCAGGAGGAACACCGAUGGCGAAGGCAGGUCUCUGGGCCACUACUGACGCUGAGAAGCGAAAGCAUGGGGAGCAAACAGG